CCCAGAAACCGCCAUUUUUUUCCUUCUCCUGGAAGCUCCCUUCUCCCCUGCCUCUUUCGUCAGAGUUCGUCGGAGAUGAACGUGCUCUGCCCGUCCUCGUCGGCGGCGACUCCUCCUCCUCCGGCGCCGGCCGCCGGCGCACCAGGUGCGCGUUGUACGAUUGCGCUCUCCGUUGGGUGAUUUGUCCCGCCAAAUGAAUGCGACGCGUCGUGUUUUUUCAUGUGCUUUUCGUUGUGACCCAAGGCGUCGGCGUCGCCGUCGGCGGCGAAGCGCGGGAGGAAGAGAGGCGGCGGCAAUGUUACUACUACCGCUGCGCCGGCGCGCUCCUCCGCGCCGCCGUCCUCGGCGACCUCCACCACCUCGCUAGGAUGGCGGCGGAGGUGGACGCGGCGGCGCCUGGCGGCGGCGAGGGUGCCGGCGGAGUCCGAUCGCGGUGCGGCCGCGGGGCGCUGCACCUGGCCGCGGCCAACGGCCGCACGCACGUCUGCCGCUUCCUGCUCGAGGGCCUCGGCCUCCCCGUCGACGCGCUCUCCGCCUCAGGUGAGACGCCGCUGCUGCUGGCGGCCACGUUCGGGCACACCUCAACGGCGGCCUACCUCCUGGACCGCGGCGCCGACCCGUCCACGCCGGACCCCAACGGCGGCGACACCCCGCUCCACUGGGCCGCCUACAACGGGGAUCGCGAGCUGGCGAAGCUGCUGCUGCUCAGGGGAGCCGACGUGGGCGCGGCGAACCCCCGCGGCACGGCGCUGCAUGUCGCCGCUGCACGGGGGCACGCCGCCGUCGUCAGCGUCUUGCUGAACCACGGCGCUGAUCCCAACAAGAUUGCCAAUAUCGUCUUCACACCGUUGGUUUCUUCACUUUUGGGGGGAUCAUUGGAAUGCAUGAAGUUGCUCAUUCAGGCCGGUGCUAACGUUAAUGGUGCUGGAUUCAAUGGAGCAACUCCUCUGCUGUUAGCAUGUAGUCGUACCGGGUCCAUUGGAUUCAUCAAGUGCUUGGUGGAAUCUGGGGCAGAUCCAAACAUUCCAGACGAACUUGAUAGGUUACCAAUAGAAAUUGCUGCAAUCCAUGCCGAACGGGAAGUCAUUGAGGUUCUAUUGCCAUUGACCCACCAAGUACCUACUCUUCUAGAUUGGAGUGUUGGUGGGAUCAUCAGAUAUGUAAAAUAUCCUGCUUACAAGGAAUGGUUUUCUGAACAGGCAAGAAAUGCAUCAUGUAAAAGGAAGGAUGAACUCAAACUACAAGGCAACUCCUCUUUCAACAACGAGGACUACGAUGCUGCAAUACUGCUAUACAGCAUGGCAAUGAAGUUCGACAACACCGACGCAAAGUUAUAUUCAAACAGGAGUGCUUGCUGGUUAAACCUUGGCAUAGGCGAUGAGGCACUCUCAGAUGCUCAGAUCUGCAGCAAGAUGCAACCGGACUGGGCGAAAGGCUAUUACCGUCAAGGAAUGGCCUUCUCUUUGCUACAGGAUUAUGCCAGUGCUUCUUAUGUGCUUCGCAGGGCCUUAAAGUUGGAUCCACAAAAUGCCACAGUCGCCAAAGCAUUGCGGGAUGUCUUGGAAACUGCGUGUCCAAGGAUGGAAGAAUCUGGUCUAGCUUUUGUUCAUCAGAAGAAACGAGAUUGGAGCCCCGCAGCUGCAGGGAGUGAGCUAAACCAGAUCCUGAACCAUACAUAGAUUCAUCCAGGGCCAGAAGAGAGAGAGAGAAAGGAGGGGUGACAGUGUGACAGAGAUUGCUGGAUAGGCUGGGAGUAGCGACGAGACAAGAAAGGACGAGACAAAAUAAAAGAUUCACCGCGCCGAGAUGAACAUGCGCCUUGCCAUUAGCGCCCCUCCUCGCACCAAAAUGACAACCCGCAAACCGGCCCCAAUCCUGAACAUUAGUAUUUGUUUUUUUAUAAUCUUCACAGAAUACUACUCUACUGUAUUUUACUACAGUGUUCAAGAUGAUUACAUGGUUGUUAGUGGUAAUCUAAUCUUGGAGCGAGAAGAGCAGCAUUCUUGUCAUCAGUAUGGUUGGCGUUUGCCGUCUU